UUUGCACAGCAGGAUAAGCAAGCUUUUGACUUGGUUCCAGGUACGACAAUAGCUGAGAGCCAUCAAAAGUACGAAGAAAAUAGCUGCCAGCCGUUCUGUCUGACUUGGGUGAUCCUGAUUUUCCUCUUGCUCUGUCAAACCCUGCUCGCUCAGUCCUCUCUGAUGGGACUGAGGACAGAACAUCCUUCCGAGAGCGGCUUUUGUUUCCGUCGGCAUUUAACUGUGACUCCUUUGUGGGAUAUGCACAGCCUCGGGAAGAGAACCUUGUCCUCUGCCUUCCUGUGCCUCUCCAAGAGGGACCUCCUCUCAGGGUACUGAGCCCGGACAGCGCACGGAAUGGGAAGGGGUUGGACCUCCAAGGUUCGUGGAAUGCCAGCACACAGCAGAAAUCUUCAGAGACAAUAUUCAGGGAGGCUUUGUUAAGGAAAAAGAUUUGCCAUUGGACGUUACCGAAGAAAUACCGUCUCCUGUCUCCUGCUCCAGACUUUGGCAACGGGAAUUAGCAGACCAAUCCUUUUCUUCCCUACUCCCUGAAAAGGACAGUGGGAAGCCAGGACACCACCUUUAUCUGAAGGCUUAUAUUACUACUCUGAACAAGCAGUCCAUGAUUUUGAAGGAGAGGAUGAGGGCUUUUUCUAUUACUUGAGGGGUCUGCCCUUGAACUGAAGACCACAGCUUUUAAAAGCCUGGAGCAGUGAUGUCUGUCUUUCAGAAAUCCAUGCAGGAUGCAGACGUUCUUGUUCAGCUUCUAGACACUACAUCUGUUUGUUAAACUUCAAGACUGAGUUUUUUCUCAAGCUUUUCCAGUCUGAGUCACAUUGCUCAGGGGUCGUGGUGCAAAUGCUGCUAUCUUUUGUGCAAGAUCAGUGCAGUCAGGCCACAUGGUCUCUGGCUGUGCUCUGAGCUGAGUGGUCACACUGUCCGCCCCUGAGUGUCACUGGCUCAUGGCAGAGAUGGAUCAAACUCCUUUGGGUUUUGGUGGUGGCAGUCCGUGUUACCCAAUGGCCACAAGGUUUGUGCAGGACUGUUUCUCUGACACAGAUCCAACCACACUUCUAAGGAGAACCCCCAGAGGCUCGCAGCUCACACUUGAUGUUGUUUGCUUAUUUUCAAAUGCAACACUUCAGCACGAAGAGGAGACCUUUAAUAUGGAAAAAGUCAAAUUCCAGUGAAGGCAACAGUGGAUCUGACCCAGAUUUCUGGCCAGAAACUCUGAUCAGAGUGAAGUAGCUACCCUGAAGUUCCUGCUCUCCAAUUAGGAAGAUGUCAGCGAGCGCACAGCUAAGCACCAGUCUGGUAAACAUAGGGAUGUUUUUAUUAAACAGCUUUGGGAUGCAGAAGUAUUUACACUGACCUUGUUUUUCAACUCUUCAGAGGGCCGAGGAGGAAGCUGGAGGUUCUGUAGGAAAUAAUCCUCCUUCAUUAUAUUUCUUCCCAUCUGUUGGGUUAGUUUUUAGGGUUUAUAUGCAUUCAUCUGUCAGGGAGCACUGGGGAUUUCAGAAGCAGGAAACUUUAUCAGGGAAAUAUCUCAGGGCACCUCUGUGUGACAUGGACAGGAGCUCAGUGCCAGGUGAGGGGGUUCUUGGGGAGCCAGCAAGCUCAGCCCAGUUCUGCUGUACCAGAGAGCACAGA